GGAAGUUGGCCCUCAAACUGAACAGCCCUCACCUCCGCACCAUCCGACCAAGAAUUGUCUGGGUCUGGAGCAAAGCACAAGCGGGACUAAAACUUUAUGUCAUUUUCUCAUACACACGUGACCCCCCUGCAGUCCAGAUGGUUUCAAUCACUGGAGGAAAAAAGCGGCUCUUCUGAUCUCGGCCUCGGGAAGCCCUACAAAACCAAAUGGCAAGAAGUUACCUUGGGUACUGCAGCAGUAGCGAACUCAAAAAGCAUUAAGGUUCCUAGAUUCCUGGUCUGAGCCAAAAGCUCAAAGGGCAUUUUCAGAAUUUAAAAUGUUCCAUGGGCUUAUAAAACCAAAAACUUGAAAACGGUGUCAUUUAAUAAUAAAGCAAUGAAAUACUA